GAUGAAGAACGCAGCGAAAUGAGAUACUUGGUGUGAAUUGCAGAAUCCCGUGAACCAUCGAGUCUUUGAACGCAAGUUGCGCCCGAAGCCACUAGGCCGAGGGCACGCCUGCCUGGGCGUCACACGUCGUUGCCCCCCACCAUCUACUCCUUCGGGAUUGCGGGGGGCGGAUGAUGGCCUCCCGUGCGCCUAGCCGCGCGGUUGGCAUAAAUACCAAGUCCUCGGCGACGCACGCCACGACAAUCGGUGGUUGCGAAACCUCGGUUGCCCGUCGUGUGCGUUCGUCGCGCAUCGAGGGCUCGAAAAAAUGUUCGGCUCCGGCUCGGCUUUCAACGCGACCCCAGGUCAGGUGGGGUUACCCGCUGAAUUUAAGCAUAUCAAUAAGCGGAGGA
rnacentral:misc_RNA from 1 species